GAUGAACGCUGGCGGCGUGCCUAAUACAUGCAAGUCGAGCGAACAGACGAGGAGCUUGCUCCUCUGACGUUAGCGGCGGACGGGUGAGUAACACGUGGAUAACCUACCUAUAAGACUGGGAUAACUUCGUGAAACCGGAGCUAAUACCGGAUAAUAUAUUGAACCGCAUGGUUCAAUAGUGAAUGACGGUUUUGCUGUCACUUAUAGAUGGAUCCGCGCCGCAUUAGCUAGUUGGUAAGGUAACGGCUUACCAAGGCAACGAUGCGUAGCCGACCUGAGAGGGUGAUCGGCCACACUGGAACUGAGACACGGUCCAGACUCCUACGGGAGGCAGCAGUAGGGAAUCUUCCGCAAUGGGCGAAAGCCUGACGGAGCAACGCCGCGUGAGUGAUGAAGGUCUUCGGAUCGUAAAACUCUGUUAUUAGGGAAGAACAAAUGUGUAAGUAACUAUGCACGUCUUGACGGUACCUAAUCAGAAAGCCACGGCUAACUACGUG
rnacentral:rRNA from 1 species